rnacentral:sRNA from 1 species
GCCUGGGCAACAUUCGUCUCAAAAAAAAAGAAAAGAAUAUAGGCCUGUAGAAGGAUUGCUUGAGCCCAGGAGUUCUGUAGUGUGUCAUACCAAUAGGGUAUCUGCACUAAUUUGGCAUCAAUAUGGUGACCUCCUGGGAGCAGGGGACCACCAGGUUGCCUAAGGAGUGAUGAACAACCCAGGUCAGAAACACAGCAGGUCAAAGCUACUCUACUGAUCAGUAGUGGGCUCACAACUGUGACUAGCCACUGCCCUCCAGCCUGGGCAGCAUAACGAGAGGGUGUCUAU